AAGAAGUUGCAUGAACAAGCUAGGUUGCACAUUGAAAAGAAAAAUGAAUCUUAUGCUUCUCAUGCUAACAAAGGGCGAAAGCCUAUUGUGUUUGAGCCAGGUGAUUUGGUGUGGGUGCACCUAAGGAAAGAAAGAUUUCCUAAGAUUAGGAAAUCUAAAUUGCAGCACAGAAGUGAUGGACCAUUCAAGGUGUUGAAGAGAAUUAAUGACAAUGCCUACCAAAUUGAGUUGCCUGGUGAGUAUGGUUUUAGUUCUACAUUUAAUGUUGCUGACCUUUCUCCUUGUUUUGAUGCAGAAGCAAAUUCGAGGACGAAUUCUUUCGAA
rnacentral:misc_RNA from 1 species